rnacentral:tRNA from 1 species
AAAAUAGAUUUGGAAGUUUGAAACUUCUUUUUUCAGAAAUAUUUACUGACUAUUUUA